UACGUAGGGGGCUAGCGUUGUCCGGAAUCAUUGGGCGUAAAGCGCGCGUAGGCGGCCCGGUAAGUCCGUUGUGAAAGUCAAAGGCUCAACCUUUGAAAGCCGAUGGAUACUGCCGGGCUAGAGUCCGGAAGAGGCGAGUGGAAUUCCUGGUGUAGCGGUGAAAUGCGCAGAUAUCAGGAGGAACACCAAUGGCGAAGGCAGCACUCUGGGACGGUACUGACGCUGAGACGCGAAAGCGUGGGGAGCAAACAGG
rnacentral:rRNA from 1 species